GCGGACUCCUACUCCACUCAAAGGUACCUCCUCAGGUAAAAAUUCAUUAAAGUGGUAUAGAUCCACUUUAAUUCAUUUUUACCUCAGGAGGUACCUUUGAGUGGAGUAGGAGUCCA